rnacentral:rRNA from 1 species
UUGGGGAAUAUUGGGCAAUGGGGGAAACCCUGACCCAGCAACGCCGCGUGAAGGAAGAAGGUCUUCGGAUCGUAAACUUCUAUCCUUGGUGAAAAUAAUGAUGGUAGCCAAGAAGGAAGCCCCGGCUAACUACGUGCCAGCAGCCGCGGUAAUACGUAGGGGGCAAGCGUUGUCCGGAAUGAUUGGGCGUAAAGGGCGCGUAGGCGGCCUGGUAAGUCUGGAGUGAAAGUCCUGCUUUUAAGGUGGGAAUUGCUUUGGAUACUGUCGGGCUUGAGUGCAGGAGAGGUAAGUGGAAUUCCCGGUGUAGCGGUGAAAUGCGUAGAGAUCGGGAGGAACACCAGUGGCGAAGGCGACUUACUGGACUGUAACUGACGCUGAGGCGCGAAAGUGUGGGGAGCAAACAGGAUUAGAAACCCUGGUAGUCC